GUUAAUUUCGCCGGACACGCACCAAACCCACCGAGAAAAGAUAGUGAUAGCAGGUGCUGUCCGUGGGCAGGACGACGGGAAUCAUUCAGGAAUCAGGAAGAACUCGGCUGGUUGAGGGUUUGUGAAUAUAUAUAUUCUUGCAAUCAUGGCCUUGCAAUGUUGGGGGCCUCUGCUGAAGCCGCAAAUGGUACAAGUCUCAAGCCCUUCCCUAAGCGCGAUACAGAUUGCAGGCUAUGGAACUGCAUUUGCAAUGGUGGCAGGAACGACCUUGCUUCGGCAACCUUCUCUUGGAUCACAUGUUGGUGGUGGCAUAACCAACCGUGUGUCUCACAGAAGCAGGAGGCCUCCCAAUGUGGUCUCGAUGGCACAACGACACAACGCUAAGGUACCAAAACACGAUGUUC